AUGAACGCUGGCGGCGUGCCUAAUACCUGCAAGUCGCGCGAACAGAUAAGGAGCUUGCUCCUUUGACGUUAGCGGCGGACGGGUGAGUAACACGUGGGUAACCUACCUAUAAGACUGGGAUAACUUCGGGAAACCGGAGCUAAUACCGGAUAACAUUUGGAACCGCAUGGUUCUAAAGUGAAAGAUGGUUUUGCUAUCACUUAUAGAUGGACCCGCGCCGUAUUAGCUAGUUGGUAAGGUAACGGCUUACCAAGGCGACGAUACGUAGCCGACCUGAGAGGGUGAUCGGCCACACUGGAACUGAGACACGGUCCAGACUCCUACGGGAGGCAGCAGUAGGGAAUCUUCCGCAAUGGGCGAAAGCCUGACGGAGCAACGCCGCGUGAGUGAUGAAGGGUUUCGGCUCGUAAAACUCUGUUAUUAGGGAAGAACAAAUGUGUAAGUAACUGUGCACGUCUUGACGGUACCUAAUCAGAAAGCCACGGCUAACUACGUG
rnacentral:rRNA from 1 species